ACACGAGGCAGUUGGAGUGGAUUGGACUAGCAGACUGGAUGACGGCUGAGCUAGAGAAGACGUUGUUAGGAGACAGGAGAACGCACACGUGGAACGCUACUCUGAGGGAUUCUGGAGGCCAGGUCGGCUUUGACACGUUGAGCAGGCCCCUUAGCCACUUGUCCCAGGUUUGAAACUUAAAGCCACUGAGUUCUGCUGCCCUCCACAUUCGGUGGGUGCUGGUUCCAGAUCUCACCAGUUUUCAGACUUUUCUGUAACUGAGGAUACCAACAAACCAAAGAAACUCAUUCUAGCUGAACCUGAAGAUGCCUGGAUAGUCAGGAGGACACAGUUGUGUUUCUUUGCCAAAAACCGAGACUCGAUGGCAGUUAUUGAUCAGCAAUCCAGUCUGGAAAUGCACCACGUUUUCUUUAUGCACUCAUCUCGUAAGGGACAAUUGAAUAUUUCUAAAUUCUGAACAUUAUGAGAGCUUCAGUGAACACGGUGGAGAAAGGGUCUCUAUACUAGGAUGAAUCAGCAUGAGGAUACAUGCCCUGGAGUUGUAUCUUGAGGAAGCUAAAUUUGUGAGCACAGGGAUGAAGCAAGGAUAUUUUUCAUCAUGAAGGGGGAUCCACAGAGCACGACACACUGUCUACAUCAAGAGCACAGUUUCCUGUGCAGCUCUGGCUGGCUGUGAACUGAUGGUGAAGCCUACGCUGCAUGAGACUUGCAGAAAACCACUGUUGCCUUACACUUGUGCUGUUACAGGAGGAAGAACCACACACGACUCAGGACGGCCUUCAGCAUCUUUAGGUAUCUGGAUCCACUCAUCAGGAGCUUUAAGCACUGACCCCAAUGGCUGCCUGCCUCAGUUUGCACACCAGAUGGAUGCCAAUGCUGGUCUCUGUCAGGAAAGUACACAGAUUUCCUAAUGGUGCUUUCAACAUUAGUUCCUAUUAGAGUAGGUAACUGAAGAGGUAUCAGAGAUAACUCUUGUGUUUCUUUAACGUGAUAGAUGUUCCUCAUAUUUUUUCUAAAUUUAGAAAUAUCUUGACCAUUGUGCCAUGUAAAGUAUUGAUUAUCGUUCAUGUGCAUGUUUUAACUUCUGCGAUUUAUUUAUUGACUUUUAAAGCUUCUAAUUUCAACACUAACUUCCAAAUGGCAACAGAAGAAAAGUAAAACAACAUUAGGGGCAGAAGAAUAAUUUGGAUCAUGUGCGUUGGAAUAGAGGUACUGAACAGAACCACUUGAGUGGGAAGGUAAGAGUGUCAUUAUCUCUUAGUGACUCAUGUGGUAGAAACAGCACCAUGACAUGUGUGAGUGAAGCUUUUCAAGAGCUGUUGACCGGAUGGGGUGGUGGUACAUGCCUUUAAUCCCAGCACUCAGGAGGCAAAGACAGACAAAUCUCUGUAAGUUUUAAGCCACCCUGGUCUACACACCAAGUUGCAGAAGAGCCAGGGAUGUUUCUCAGGAACUAAAAAGCCGGAGUAUAACUGCAACUUUUUAAAACCUAUUUUUAAUGAUAGUUCUUAAGUAUUUUAACUUUCCUUUUAGCCACUUUUACCAGAGGUAGUGGGAAAGAAAGGAUAUGGGGGAGUGGACUUGUUUAGAAAUAGUUCUUUGGAGCAACUCCCAUCUGUUUUGUCAGAUGGGAAAUCGGCAGUCAGUUCACAGGUCAGCAGCAGCAGCUUGAUCUACUCACAAACCCUUCACAGAUAUAUCAGCAGUCCAGUUCAGUAGACUCUGGAUAGUAAACAUGAAUCAGCAGCUUUGGCACUACCUGGCAAAGCCAGGCAGGCAUCAGCAGGCAUGAGUCAGCAAGAUCAUACUGAUUUCAUGACUCCCUGAAAAUGUCUGCACAGCAUGCAUAUCAAAAUCUUUCUUAGCAGGGAGAAACUACUCAGUUCUUGAAAUUAUUCAGGGCACUAGCCUGGCAUGCUCGCACACCCCUCUAAUUCCAGCAUUUGGGAGACAGAGGCAGGCAGAUCUCUGAGUUUAAGACCAUCCUGAUCAAUAAGGUAAAUUAGAGAAUAUCCAGAGGUACCUAUAUAAACCCUGGGGCUGAAGGGUAACAGGGCCCUUCAGAAGUUUUAAUAGAAUUUCUUGAUUACCAUACACAAGAUUUAAGGAAACGGGUGGUCCUUUCUCUGACCCCAGAUAUCUUAAUCAAUUGACUUUUGAAAAUACUAAUAGAGAAACACUGUCUCAAAAACCAACCAACCAACCAGACAAAGACAAAUGAAAAACAACAACAAAGCAAAAGAAAGAAAGAAAACACAAAUCCAUACUCUUAAGUGACCGUGUCCCCAAGUUAUUUCUGAAUUGUAAAUAAAAAUGCCUACACUCAAAAGCUGUGCAGAAUUGAGAUCAGUGUUCUCUGGUGUUCCCAGCUUGGGGGUGGGAGGAGACCAUGACAGGGGUAGAUAGAAGAAGGUAAACAGAGGAGAAACCACCAUGAGGUAAGAAUCUUUAGAUAAUGGCCAUGCUUAUUGGCUAAUUGGAGUUAAAAGCAGUCCGGACAAAACCAUGGCAAAUUAUGCAAUGGAAUUAUUGGCUGAGAAAUAUGCAUAAUAGUGUACAGGAUAGCUAUCUGCCCAGUUCCUGUGCUAAUUAAGGAUUAUCAUAAAUAUAAAGCUUGUAUGCAUCUUUUAUCCGGAAACUAAAUGGACAAAGGAUGGGUAGAAAUUCAUGGUUGAGAUCAAAUACUUUCUAUCACACAAAACCAGACUCCAGCACCUAGAAUUAUAAUCUUCCCAAUCCCAGAUACCUACAGACUAGUAUAAAAACACAACCAGUACAGCCAGGGCAUUCAAAUCUCUAUUAGAGCCCAUCAACACUAUCACAGAAGGCCCUGAAUAUGUCAGCAUGACUGAAGAACGAGAAUAAAAAAGACUGUAAAACAGCAUUUGCACAUAUGAUAGAGGUCUUUAAAGAGAAAAAUAAAGAAAUCUGUGAAAACCCUAACUGUGGAAGGAAAUGAAUAAAGAAAACUUAAACAGAGAGAUGUGUAUGAGUAAAAUGUAGGAACUCAAAUAGUCUCUCAGAGGCAGAUUUUAAUAACAGACUCCAACAGAUGGAAUAGAGAGUCUCAGGCAUUGAAGAGAUGAUAGAAGGAAUGGAUGCAUAGAUAGAGGAAAAUGUUAAAUCCAAAAGGAGGAAAAGAGUGGAGGGGGAAAAGGAAGAAAGGAAAUUGAAAGAAAGAAGGAAAGAAAGAAAGGAAGGAAGGAAGAAAGAAAGGAAGGAAAAAUAAAUAAAGUCAAUCUUGUAAGAAAACAUCCAAGAAAUAGAGUUUUUGUACAAAAUAACAAAUAUAAUAAUAAAAUGAUAAAGACAGUAAAGUAUAUAAGAAGGAGGAAAAGAAACUCCGGUCAAAAGCAGAAAAACAAAAAAACAAACA